rnacentral:rRNA from 1 species
GACGAACGCUGGCGGCGUGCUUAACACAUGCAAGUCGAACGGAAAGGCCCUGCUUUUGUGGGGUGCUCGAGUGGCGAACGGGUGAGUAACACGUGAGUAACCUGCCCUUGACUUUGGGAUAACUUCAGGAAACUGGGGCUAAUACCGGAUAGGAGCUCCUGCUGCAUGGUGGGGGUUGGAAAGUUUCGGCGGUUGGGGAUGGACUCGCGGCUUAUCAGCUUGUUGGUGGGGUAGUGGCUUACCAAGGCUUUGACGGGUAGCCGGCCUGAGAGGGUGACCGGCCACAUUGGGACUGAGAUACGGCCCAGACUCCUACGGGAGGCAGCAGUGGGGAAUAUUACACAAUGAGCGGAAGCCUGAUGCAGCAACGCCGCGUGCGGGAUGACGGCCUUCGGGUUGUAAACCGCUUUCGCCUGUGACGAAGCGUGAGUGACGGUAAUGGGUAAAGAAGCACCGGCUAACUACGUG